UACAGAGGUCUCAAGCGUUGUUCGGAUUCAUUGGGCGUAAAGGGUGCGUAGGUGGCGCUGUAAGUCGGGUGUGAAAUUUCGGAGCUUAACUCCGAAACUGCAUUCGAUACUGCGGUGCUUGAGGACUGGAGAGGAGACUGGAAUUCAUGGUGUAGCAGUGAAAUGCGUAGAGAUCAUGAGGAAGACCAGUGGCGAAGGCGGGUCUCUGGACAGUUCCUGACGCUGAGGCACGAAGGUCAGGGAGCAAACGGG
rnacentral:rRNA from 1 species